rnacentral:lncRNA from 1 species
AUCAGCAGUGACUGAAGUCUUAUUUGAAGACUUGACUGAGGAAAGAUUCACUUCCAAGCUGACUCACAUAGGCGACAAGAUUCAGUUCUUCUAGUGUUGCUAAACUGAGAACCUCAGUUCCUCCCUGGCUGUUGGUUGAAGGCUUUCUUCAGUUGCUUUUCAAGUGUGUCUCUCCAAAAUGAUGGCUUACUUCGUUAGACACACCAAAUGAAAGAGUCUGCUAGUAAGAUGUCAAAACUUAGAGUGGAAACUGUAGUCAUUGAAUUGGCAUUUGAUCCAAG